GAUGAACGCUGGCGGCGUGCCUAAUACAUGCAAGUCGAGCGAACAGACGAGGAGCUUGCUCCUCUGACGUUAGCGGCGGACGGGUGAGUAACACGUGGAUAACCUACCUAUAAGACUGGGAUAACUUCGGGAAACCGGAGCUAAUACCGGAUAAUAUAUUGAACCGCAUGGUUCAAUAGUGAAAGACGGUUUUGCUGUCACUUAUAGAUGGAUCCGCGCCGCAUUAGCUAGUUGGUAAGGUAACGGCUUACCAAGGCAACGAUGCGUAGCCGACCUGAGAGGGUGAUCGGCCACACUGGAACUGAGACACGGCCCAGACUCCUACGGGAGGCAGCAGUAGGGAAUCUUCCGCAAUGGACGAAAGCUUGACGGAGCAACGCCGCGUGAGUGAUGAAGGUCUUCGGAUCGUAAAACUCUGUUAUUAGGGAAGAACAAAUGUGUAAGUAACUAUGCACGUCUUGACGGUACCUAAUCAGAAAGCCACGGCUAACUACGUG
rnacentral:rRNA from 1 species